rnacentral:misc_RNA from 1 species
GAUGAAGAACACAGUGAAAUGCGAUAAGUAAUGUGAAUUGCAGAAUUCAGUGAAUCAUCGAAUCUUUGAACGCACAUUGCGCCCGCCAGCAUUCUGGCGGGCAUGCCUGUUCGAGCGUCAUUUCAACCCUCGAGCCCCCCCGGGGGCCUCGGUGUUGGGGGACGGCACACCAGCCGCCCCCGAAAUGCAGUGGCGACCUCGCCGCAGCCUCCCCUGCGUAGUAGCACACACCUCGCACCGGAGCGCGGAGACGGUCACGCCGUAAAACGCCCAACUUCUUAGAGUUGACCUCGGAUCAGGUAGGAAUACCCGCUGAACUUAAGCAUAUCAAUAAGCGGAGGA